UAAUAAUAGCUUUCAUGCAACUAAAGAUGUUGGAUUUCUGCUGGGUCUCAUUGAAACUACCCGAUUAGAGUUACUGGAAGAACUGAAACACACACAAGCCAACUAGGCUUCACUCCCAGAUUCGACAGUUUGAAGGUUCUCAUAUCUCAGUGGCAUAAUCAACACUGGAGAAAACAGACCUGGGGAAUAAGAGUUAUUGGUGUUCAGAGUCACAAGUCCCCUCUACUGCACCCCUCCUGCCUUCCACUUGACCACUCCCACUGAGCCCCCCAGGCUCACAGUUUGUUCCCAGAAGGUGGUAGAUUUUGUAAGAUCCGGACUUCCUACCUUAAGUUUUGUUUCAGAGGCUGAGGAAGACUCAUUACAUCCGUGGAGUCCUUGACACACGUCCUGGGUCUUCCAGCUGAUUCUGAUUGUCCUGUCAUUUGCUCAGAAAGCCGUGGCCCUAUCAGCUGGUGUUGUUCAGUCGCCUGUGUGUAUUUGUGCAAUGACAAUAGUGUCACAUCUGUCGUUUGUGUGGGCGGUGUCACCAAUGAGGGACCACAGCUCCUCUAACUCCCACGCCAACAAACGUGGAACCCAGAUGCCUGGCUCUCAGCUAAAUAAAAUGUUGGUCGUAUAAA